GGGUGACUAGCUCAGCUGGGAGAGCACCUCCCUUACAAGGAGGGGGUCGGCGGUUCGAUCCCGUCAUCACCCACCA
rnacentral:tRNA from 1 species